rnacentral:rRNA from 1 species
UGUCUCAGUACAAGCCNNAUAAGGUGAAACCGCGAAAGGCUCAUUNNAUCAGUUAUGGUUCCUUAGAUCGUACCCACACUUACUUGGAUAACUGUGGUAAUUCUAGAGCUAAUACAUGCAAACAGAGCUCCGACCGGAGACGGAAGGAGCGCUUUUAUUAGAUCAAAACCAAUCGGUGGCGGGUCCCCUCGUCAUCGUAUAACUUGGUGACUCUGAAUAACAACUCUAAGCUGAUCGCACGGUCUAGCACCGGCGACGCAUCUUUCAAAUGUCUGCCUUAUCAACUGUCGAUGGUAGGUUCUGCGCCUACCAUGGUCGUAACGGGUAACGGGGAAUCAGGGUUCGAUUCCGGAGAGGGAGCCUGAGAAACGGCUACCACAUCCAAGGAAGGCAGCAGGCGCGCAAAUUACCCACUCCCGGCACGGGGAGGUAGUGACGAAAAAUAACGAUACGGGACUCAUCCGAGGCCCCGUAAUCGGAAUGAGUACACUCUAAACCCUUUAACGAGGAUCAAUUGGAGGGCAAGUCUGGUGCCAGCAGCCGCGGUAAUUCCAGCUCCAAUAGCGUAUAUUAAAGUUGUUGCGGUUAAAAAGCUCGUAGUCGAAUUUGUGUCCCGCGCCGCCGGUUCAUCGUCCGCGGUGUUAACUGGCGUGCCGCGGGACGUCCUGCCGGUGGGCUUAGCUCUUCGGAGCGGCGCCCAACUCAAUCCCGCCGCGGUGCUCUUCACUGAGUGUCGCAGUGGGCCGGCACGUUUACUUUGAACAAAUUAGAGUGCUUAAAGCAGGCUAAAACUUCGCCUGAAUACUGUGUGCAUGGAANAAUGGAAUAGGACCUCGGUUCUAUUUUGUUGGUUUUCGGAACCCCGAGGUAAUGAUUAAUAGGAACGGAUGGGGGCAUUCGUAUUGAGA